CAGCAGACUGUCUCCCGCUCACUAGACUGUGAUGCUCAGGUUCAUCCUACUGAAGGGCAUCUGUGAGACAGAGCUGAGCACCACUCAGGAGCUAUUACGUAAGAUCCAGUAUGACCAGUCCCAGCAUCAGCUUCCUUAGAAGGACAUGGAUGAAGGUUAUCCACAUUCCCCUGGGGGAAAAGUUUCCCAACUUUUCAUUCAGAUGUGGCAGAGGAACAAUGGAGAUCUGUACCUCAAGUGAAAUGUCUCAUUUUAAACAUAUUGACUGGACACAAAUGAAGCAUUUUGGGCUGGAACUGCAUCCUUCUCCUUUUGUGACUCAGCUUCCCUAUAUUUGCAUCCUUUAUUUCCUCAGAUAAUAAAUAAAUAAAUAAAAUAAAAAGUCAUCA
rnacentral:lncRNA from 1 species